GGGAGUGGCCUAGGUGGAGAGGGGUGUGGCCUGGGUGGAGAAGGUGUGGCUCAGAAAGGGGUGUGGCCUGUGCUGAAAGGGGUGUGGUUGAGGGAGGGGAUGGCCUAGGUAGAGAGGGGUGUGGCCAGAGCAGAGAGGGGUGUGGCCUGGGCGUUGAGGAUGUGGCUGAGAAAGGGGUGUGGCCUUGUCUGAAAGGAGUGUGGUUGAGGGAGAGGAGUGGCCUAUGUGGAGAGGG